rnacentral:lncRNA from 10 species
UAUGAUUGAUGUUUUUGAAAGCAGAACCAUCUUAGCCUUUGUGUUAUUGGGCUUUGCAAAUAGAAAUACUUUUAUUUGACAAAUUAUGAAGAAUGAAUAAAAUAACUAACAAUAGACAGACUAGCCAGAUAUUAAACUCUUUAGUCUGACUCCCACAUCUUUAUAAGUAGGAAUGUUUAUAAUUUUAAAAAAUUGUAUAUGAAUAGUGAAAUUGUCAUCGAGUCAGUUUAGUUAAAUUGACAAUAAGUUAACUUCAGGGAUUCAGAUUGAUAUGUUCUCAUUGAGAUAUGCAGAAUCUUUGUGUUUGCCUUUCCCUUUUAGGAAGCUGCAGUAAAGGAAGAUGAAGAAGAAGUUUCAGAUAAGGGCAGUGAUUCUGAAGAAGAAGAAACCAAUAGAGAUUCCCAAAGUGAGAAAGAUGAUGGUAGUGACAGAGACUCUGAUAGAGAGCAAGAUGAAAAACAAAACAAAGAUGAUGAAGCAGAGUGGCAAGAAUUACAACAAAGCAUACAGCGAAAAGAGAGAGCUCUAUUGGAAACCAAAUCAAAAAUAACACAUCCUGUGUAUAGCCUUUACUUUCCUGAGGAAAAACAAGAAUGGUGGUGGCUUUACAUUGCAGAUAGGAAGGAGCAGACAUUAAUAUCCAUGCCAUAUCAUGUGUGUACGCUGAAAGAUACAGAGGAGGUAGAGCUGAAGUUUCCUGCACCAGGCA